ensembl:lncRNA
GUAAGUAGCGCAGAUAAUUCUCUUCCCACGGAUGUUGCAGCUACUCUCUCGGAUAUUUUCUUUUUAAUAGAGCAAAAAUAAUUCCCUGCUUUAAAGAAGAAAAAAAAGCCUUCUCAGUGUCCCCAAAAAUAAUCCAUAACCAAUCUAUAAGUGAAAAUUUGGGUGAGUUUAUUCUGAGCCAAAAUCUGAGGACCACGGCCCAGGGCCUUUCUUCCCAAAGGAAGGGCACCAAAGAAGUGGGGUGUACAGAGUGGUUAUAUACCCCCAAAGAGGAUGUUUCACAUAUGAUUCAAAUGUCCGGAGACUGCUCUCGGCAUAGUGAUUGAUGGACACAGCAGGUAGGUCUGCUGUCUCCGUAGACACAGCAGGAUGGCAGGUCUGUUGUCUCCAGCUGGGUGGUCACAGGAUGUCUUUUAUCCCUUCCAAGCGGCUGUAACCUGGGCUUCACAGUUGAGGAAGAAAGAUUGACAAGGCAACAUGCCAUUCAUGGGAGUAACUCAAGAAUGAUCAAAUAAUAGUGCAUAAAUCAAAUGCUAUUGGAAACUGCCUGGGAGAGUGAGAUAAAGCCCCACAGAUAAGACGACAUUUAUGCUGGAUCUUGAAAGUAAGCUGCCAUAUGCAGAGGCUCAGAUGACAAGGAAUUGAGGAUGGCCUCUGGGCAAGAGUCAUUAAGGAACUGAGGACCCCGAGUGCAACCACCAGUGAGGAAGUGAAUUC